GACGGUUUGGCCGAGUGGUCUAAGGCGCCAGAUUUAGGCUUUGUCCAAAGGGCGUGGGUUCAAAUCCCACAGCCGUCA
rnacentral:tRNA from 1 species